rnacentral:rRNA from 1 species
UACGUAGGUGGCAAGCGUUGUCCGGAUUUAUUGGGUUUAAAGGGUGCGUAGGCGGCCCUGUAAGUCAGCUGUGAAAUACGGCAGCUUAACUGUCGAGGUGCAAUUGAUACUGCAGGGCUUGAGUACUGAUGAGGUAGGCGGAAUGGACGGUGUAGCGGUGAAAUGCUUAGAGAUCGUCCAGAACACCGAUAGCGAAGGCAGCUUACUAAGGAGUAACUGACGCUGAGGCACGAAAGUGUGGGGAUCAAACAGG